rnacentral:rRNA from 1 species
UUCCCCUAGUAACUGCGAGUGAAGCGGGAAAAGCUCAAAUUUAAAAUCUGACAGUCUUUGGCUGUCCGAGUUGUAAUCUAGAGAAGCAUUAUCCGCGCUGGACCGUGUACAAGUCUCCUGGAAUGGAGCGUCAUAGAGGGUGAGAAUCCCGUCUUUGACACGGACUGCCAGGGCUUUGUGAUGUGCUCUCAAAGAGUCGAGUUGUUUGGGAAUGCAGCUCAAAAUGGGUGGUAAAUUCCAUCUAAAGCUAAAUAUUGGCGAGAGACCGAUAGCGAACAAGUACCGUGAGGGAAAGAUGAAAAGAACUUUGGAAAGAGAGUUAAACAGUACGUGAAAUUGCUGAAAGGGAAACGCUUGAAGUCAGUCGUGUCAGUCAGGGAUCAGCCUUGCUUUUGCUUGGUGUACUUCCUGGCUGAUGGGUCAGCAUCAAUUUUGACUAUUGGAAAAAGAUCAGGGGAAUGUGGCAUCUUCGGAUGUGUUAUAGCCCUUGGUUGCAUGCAAUGGUUGGGAUUGAGGAACUCAGCAUGCCGCAAGGCCGGGUUUUUAACCACGAACAUGCUUAGGAUGCUGGCAAAAUGGCUUUAAUCGACCCGUCUUGAAACACGGACCAAGGAGUCUAACAUGCCUGCGAGUGUUUGGGUGGAAAACCCGAGCGCAUAAUGAAAGUGAAAGUUGAGAUCCCUGUCAUGGGGAGCAUCGACGCCUGGACCAGACCUUUUGUGACGGUUCCACGGUAGAGCAUGUAUGUUGGGACCCGAAAGAUGGUGAACUAUGCCUGAAUAGGGUGAAGCCAGAGGAAACUCUGGUGGAGGCUCGUAGCGAUUCUGACGUGCAAAUCGAUCGUCAAAUUUGGGUAUAGGGGC